GUAGGUGGCAAGCGUUGUCCGGAAUUAUUGGGCGUAAAGCGCGCGCAGGCGGUUCUUUAAGUCUGAUGUGAAAGCCCACGGCUCAACCGUGGAGGGUCAUUGGAAACUGGAGAACUUGAGUACAGAAGAGGAAAGCGGAAUUCCACGUGUAGCGGUGAAAUGCGUAGAGAUGUGGAGGAACACCAGUGGCGAAGGCGGCUUUCUGGUCUGUAACUGACGCUGAGGCGCGAAAGCGUGGGGAGCAAACAGGGAUUAGAUACCCUGGUAGUCCACGCCGUAAACGAUGAGUGCUAAGUGUUAGGGGGUUUCCCGCCCCUUAGUGCUGCAGCUAACGCAUUAAGCACUCCGCCUGGGGAGUACGGCCCGCAAGGCUG
rnacentral:rRNA from 1 species